rnacentral:tRNA from 1 species
UGUAGCUCAGUUGGUAGGGUGUUUGUCUAACAUACAAGAUGCCCUGGGUUCAAUCCUCAGCA